CCUACGGGAGGCAGCAGUGGGGAAUAUUGGACAAUGGGCGCAAGCCUGAUCCAGCCAUGCCGCGUGAGUGAUGAAGGCCCUAGGGUUGUAAAGCUCUUUCACCGGAGAAGAUAAUGACGGUAUCCGGAGAAGAAGCCCCGGCUAACUUCGUGCCAGCAGCCGCGGUAAUAC
rnacentral:rRNA from 1 species